rnacentral:lncRNA from 1 species
UAAAAAAAAAUUUUAAAAAAAAUUAUAAAUUUUUUUAUAAUUUAGCCUUUAAAAUUAGGCUAAAUUAAAUAAAACCUCCCUAUUAAAAUCCAAUUUUUUAUUUUCUUCCCCUGUCAUUUAAAAAUGUACACUUUGUCCCUUAUAAAAUAAAAAAUGUUCACUUCAUCUUCUGCUGUUAGUAAUUCGUUAGGAUCCGUUUAUAAAAUACUAUUAUAUAUUUUUUUAUGCCAAAAAUGCUCUCAACGUUCUCUCCUGUGAACAUGGUGAGACGCAAAAUGGUGAGGAGCAAAAUGAUUAUUUUACCAUCACAGUUCACACUGUACUUUUCUGUGAGUAUUUUUUACUUUAUAAGAGGACAAUAUAUAGAUUUUUAAAUGACAGAAAAAAAAAAAGUUAAAAAUUGAAUUUUUGACAAAAAGGUUGAUAUAAUUUAGCUUUAAAAUUAUAUAU